GACGUAGGGCGCGAGCGUUGUCCGGAUUUAUUGGGCGUAAAGAGCUCGUAGGCGGCUUGUCGCGUCGUCUGUGAAAUCCCGCGGCUCAACUGCGGGUCUGCAGGCGAUACGGGCAGGCUGGAGUUCGGUAGGGGAGACUGGAAUUCCUGGUGUAGCGGUGAAAUGCGCAGAUAUCAGGAGGAACACCGGUGGCGAAGGCGGGUCUCUGGGCCGAUACUGACGCUG
rnacentral:rRNA from 1 species